UACCUCUACCACGUGACUACCUUCCCGGGCUUCACACACAUGCACUUUUUUCUACACUUUGACACUCUUAAUGCUAAUGCAUCAGAAGCUGCAGUGUUUGCUUUCUCAAUGAAGCCAUGCUAUAUCAGAAAAAUCCAUGUAUGCUAGAUAUCAUUUCCUUGAUGGUUGAAUGACUGCAGCACCAGAUUUCCCUCUGGUAAUGUUUGUAGAAGUCUCUAGGGCAGCACAGGGUAGGGUGCUACAACCUCAGAGGCCAUGCCUUCGGCACACAGCAGUGUGAAGCUUAGAUGCACAGCAAGAAAUAGGGUUGUUCUGAAUUAAAUUUACAGCAUCCAACAUGCAUCUGGCCAAGAGUAGACGACAAAACACCCCUUGGUAUUGCUUUGUUAUGGCAAAUUGGUGGGUGUUAGAAACAUUUAGUGGUGGGAUGUAUGGUAUGUUCUGGACACCAUCUAUUCUGGUUUGCAGGCAUGGAAUUGCAGAAGAGCCUACAUCACUGCAAUGCUUGACCCACAUCACUUGCCUUGUUCUGCCUCAAGACCUCGUGAACAUAAGGAAUGAAGUACGAUGAAUGCUGCCCAACAACUCCAGAAAACAGGAAAUGGAUGAACCAAAUAUAGUGCUCGGGUUGCAAUGUCAGGCAGCCAGGUGACAGGUAUUGGAGUUCGCCGGAAUGCAGUUGUCGGGGACCUUGGAUCAAACUCUACAUCAGCUGCUUCUGCUGAGCCAUCCAACAUCACUGCAUCCUCCAUCUGCAGAGAAGUCAAAAGAGAAGAGAUUUCACAACUGGUUUGCAAACAUGAACUUAUUGGAAGACACCCGUGCACUGGUGAAAUGUUAGAAGCAGCAAAGAGAGGUACAAGUUAUGUUGUGGAGAGGACAGGCAAUGUAACUGACUGUAGGCUUGAAUUACAAUGACACACGAAAAAGUGCCACCAAAGAAACAUCUAGUAUUGCCUGAUUUUGUGCUGCUGCAUUAUGCCAGAGAAGCACACUUCUAAACAAGCUCUCUAAAAAUGUGAGGACAUAGAAAUAGCACAAGCUCCUUCUGUGCUAUGAUUAGUGUUCAGUGAAUUGUACACAACUCUAUUUAUUCUUGAUGCGAGCACAUAUGAAAACAGGAACUUAAAUAGCAAGCUGAUUUGUGGAGAUGAUUUUACAGAUUUCCAGACAUUUGUAGACCACAAUUGCCCAAAAUGCUCCUGCUCUAAAUAAAUAAAAGUUGUAUGAACCAUUUUUACCAUUAAACAGAAUAUUAUAACGCCUAGCGA